CCUAAGGGCUCUCAGGAAGGGAAAUAAUACCUCUGUGAUCUGGCAGCCAUUAGGCUGAAGCCACUCCCUCCUUGGAGUCCUGAGGCACGCAGGAUGUGAAAAAAGCCCCAGAUAGCUGAGAUGCACAUGGAAGGAAUGAUUUCAAUACAUUUUAAAGAGCUCUCCAAAGAGCAGGAUUUUGAGAAGGAAACAUGGAGGAGAAGGAGAACCACGUGGAAGGAAUGAAAUACAUGGAAAGGGAGAAGCUUCAAAAGAUUAAAAAGAAGCAUGCUAGUCUUGGAAUCAGGAUCUCUAUCCAAUUUCUUUCUCCUGGGGAGAGCAAGGCAAGAAAUCUACUGGACCCUUGGUUUUCCCUUGGACAGAGUGGAUAUUGGGCUGUAUGAUCUCUACUGUCUCGUGCAGGGGUGCUGCCUUAGCCAGUACUUUAAAGUCGAGGAAGUCCGUCCCCACCACUGAUUCUAAGGAGAGACGCUGGAC
rnacentral:lncRNA from 1 species